rnacentral:rRNA from 1 species
GACGAACGCUGGCGGCGUGCUUAACACAUGCAAGUCGAACGGAAAGGCCCUGCUUGCAGGGUACUCGAGUGGCGAACGGGUGAGUAACACGUGGGUGAUCUGCCCUGCACUUCGGGAUAAGCCUGGGAAACUGGGUCUAAUACCGGAUAGGAGCCAUUUUUAGUGUGAUGGUUGGAAAGUUUUUUCGGUGUAGGAUGAGCUCGCGGCCUAUCAGCUUGUUGGUGGGGUAAUGGCCUACCAAGGCGGCGACGGGUAGGCGGCCUGAGAGGGUGGACGGCCACAUUGGGGCUGGGAUACGGCCCAGACUCCUCCGGGAGGCAGCAGUGGGGAAUAUUGCACAAUGGGCGCAAGCCUGAUGCAGCGACGCCGCGUGGGGGAUGACGGCCUUCGGGUUGUAAACUCCUUUCGCUAGGGACGAAGCUUUUUGUGACGGUACCUAGAUAAGAAGCACCGGCUAACUACGUG